ACAGCAGCCGCCGCGGGAAUACGGAGGGUGCAAGCGUUAAUCGGAAUUACUGGGCGUAAAGCGUGCGUAGGUGGUGGUUUAAGUCCGUUGUGAAAGCCCUGGGCUCAACCUGGGAAUUGCAGUGGAUACUGGGUCACUAGAGUGUGGUAGAGGAUAGUGGAAUUUCCGGUGUAGCAGUGAAAUGCGUAGAGAUCGGAAGGAACAUCUGUGGCGAAGGCGACUAUCUGGGCCAACACUGACACUGAGGCACGAAAGCGUGGGGAGCAAACAGGAUUAGAUACCCCAGUAGUCCCUGUCUCUUAUAC
rnacentral:rRNA from 1 species